CAGUCGGUUAUAAUUUUUUGACGUUUAGUAGGGGACUCUUUGCCUUUCCUUCAAAGCAAUCCCACGACGGAGAUGGAAUCCAAUAUCAAAACCUCUAGUUAACGCCAGGAAUCUUCCUAAGCUUUUGCUUUCAAUUACAAAGCCUUAAACUCUUGUAUUUCUGUGAUAUUGGGUUCGCUGCUUGUAUCACUUUUCUCCACAUAAUGAGCGGAAAGAAGAAAGAAGUUAUGAGAUUAGAGAGAGAAUCCGUCAUUCCGAUUCUCAAACCCAAGCUUAUCAUGACCUUGGCCAAUCUCAUUGAACAUAACACUGACCGGGCUGAGUUUUUGAAGCUCUGCAAAAGAGCUGAGUAUACAAUUCGUGCUUGGUAUCUUCUACAGUUUGAGGAUCUAAUGCAACUGUACUCCCUUUUUGACCCCAUACAUGGAGCUCAGAAAUUGAAGCAGCAGAAUCUAUCUCCUGAAGAAAUUGAUGUACUAGAACAGAAUUUCCUGAUGUACUUAUUUCAGGUGAUGAAAAAGAGCAAUUUCAAGUUAACAACUAAUGAGGAAAUCGAUGUUGCACUUUCGGGGCAGUAUCUUCUAAAUCUUCCAAUCAUGGUCGAUGAUUCUAAGCUUGACAAGAAGCUUUUCAAGAAAUAUUUUGCAGAUCAUCCUUAUGAGAACCUUCCUGAUUUUGCUGAUAAGUACAUUAUUUUCCGGCGUGGUAUUGGGAUUGAUAAGACAACUGACUACUUUUUCAUGGAGAAAGUGGAUAUGAUCAUUGCACGUUUAUGCAGAUAUCUUUUGAGGCUAACUAGGCUGGAAAAGCUUUUGAAAAGGUCAAGUGGAAGGCAUGAGAAAGAUCUGAAGAAGCUAGAUGAUAUUAGCUCUGAAGCAAAUGGAGAUGAUCUAUUUGAAUCGGUCCGUCUCGAAAGUAUGGAAUUAAGUGUUGGGAAUUUGCUGAGCAAGAAUACAAUCCAGGAACCUACCUUUGAUAGGAUAAUUGUCGUCUACAGAAAUGCCUUCAGGCGAGCAAGUACGGAAUUUAAAACCGAACGAGGAAUAUAUGUGAAGCAUUUCAAAAACAUUCCAAUGGCCGAUAUGGAAAUAGUUCUUCCCGAGAAGAAAAACCCUGGGUUAACUCCAAUGGACUGGGUCAAAUUCCUUGGCUCUGCUAUAGUUGGGCUGGUUACAGUAUUUGGCUCACUCGAAAUGCCUAAAGCUGAUUUAUGGGUCAACUUUGCUAUUCUAUCCACUGUGAUCGGUUAUUGUGCUAAGAUAUACUUCACGUUUCAGCAAAACUUGGCUGCAUAUCAGAACUUGAUAACCCAAUCCAUGUAUGACAAACAACUGGAUAGUGGAAAGGGUACUCUUCUUCACUUGUGCGAUGAUGUGAUUCAACAGGAAGUAAGUUGCAAGGUCAAAGAGGUGAUCAUUUCUUUCUUUGUAUUGAUGGAAAAGGGCAAAGCUACAAGACAGUUAUGUGAAAUAGGAACUCGAUCUGUGGUGUGAGGAACUAAUCAAAGAAGAGUUUUGUGAGAGCUGUAAUUUUGAUGUGGAUGAUGCAGUCUACAAGUUGGAGAAGCUAGGGAUUAUUGCUCGGGAUAGUGUUGGCCGGUAUUACUGCAUUGGACUAAAAAGAGCCAAUGAAAUGAUUGGCACGACUACAGAGGAACUUGUCCUCAAGGCAAGACAUGGUGGUGGCAGACCUUGAUAUUGUCUGGCGAAAGGUGAGCUUCCAUGUCUUAUAUCAGUACCAUUUUUCUAGAAAGUAGUAAUUAUGCUUAUAAGCCUAUAAGACUUAUUUGCAGUUGAUUGUUCUGCUUUUGAAACUGCCUACGUAGACUUCCUAGGGAUGGGGCACUUCGCUCAAUUGUAUCUUUCAGCGGGUUUUUCUAUUUCAACUGUUUGUUAAUAUCUAUAACAUUAUUAACAAACUUUACUCCCUCUUUUUUUUUUCAAUUUUUUAUGUGCAUUCAACCUUGUCGAGGUUUGAGAAUGUGACGUCAUCUGAAUGAUAAUAGCCGGCCAAUGUUGAUAUAUUUUGGCAACAGCAUUUAAUUUC